rnacentral:rRNA from 1 species
GAGCGGAAGGCCCCUUCGGGGGUACUCGAGCGGCGAACGGGUGAGUAACACGUGAGCAACCUGCCCCUGACUCUGGGAUAAGCCCGGGAAACUGGGUCUAAUACCGGAUAUGACGCAUUCUCGCAUGGGAUGUGUGUGGAAAGUUUUUCGGUUGGGGAUGGGCUCGCGGCCUAUCACCUUGUUGGUGGGGUGAUGGCCUACCAAGGCGACCACGGGUAACCGGCCUGAGAGGGCGACCGGUCACACUGGGACUGAGACACGGCCCAAACUCCUACGGGAGGCAGCAGUGGGGAAUAUUGCGCAAUGGGCGGAAGCCUGACGCAGCGACGCCGCGUGGGGGAUGACGGCCUUCGGGUUGUAAACCUCUUUCAGCAGGGACGAAGCUAACGUGACGGUACCUGCAAAAGAAUCGCCGGCUAACUACGUGCCAGCAGCCGCGGUAAUUCACU